ensembl:lncRNA
GGAAGGUGUGGGGAGAAAGAAAAGGAAAGACAGCGAGACCAGCACAGACCCAGGCUCUUCAGAGAACCAGAGCCAUGCACAGUGGUAGCUCAUGAGCCAUAUCCAACAUAUUUUGUUUGGUUCACACAGUGUUAAUUUUUUUUUUAAUUGGCUGCCAACAUUUUUAAAAAUCAAGAGAUAUCUCUUAAAUUUUGUAAUUUCUGGCUUCCCUUGAAAAAUCAGAAAAUUUGGCAGUACUCAGCCUGUGCGCUCACAUGGUUCCCAGCUGACUUCAUCUGAAUGGCAGUGACUUCAUUGGCUCAGGUUUGUCAUAGCUUGGACUCAGCUGGUAAAGAAUCCACCUGCAGUGUGGGAGACCUGGGCUUAAUCCCUGAGUUGGGAAGAUCCUCUGGAGAAGGGAAAGGCUACCCACUCGAGUAUUCUGGCCUGGAGAAUUCCAUGGACUACAGUCCAUGGGGUCGCUAAGAGUCGGACAUAACUGAGCAACUUUCACUUUCAUGGUUCAUGGUUUCUUCCAAGGAGCAAGUGUUUUUUAAUUUUGUGUCUGCCAUCACCGUCCGCAGUGAUUUUGGAGCCCAAGAAAAUAAAAUCUGCCACUGUUUCCAGUUGUUCCCCAUCUAUUUGCCAUGAAGUGAUGGGAUUGGAUGCCAUGAUCUUAGUUUUGUGAAUGUUGAGUUUUAAGUCAGUUUUUUCACUCUCUCUUUCAUACUCAUCAAGAGGCUCUUUAGUUCCUGUUCACCUUCUGCUAUUAGAGUGGUAUCAUCUGCAAAAAUCUCCAGUUUUUAGCAAGUCUGUCUUUUAACAACUACACAACCCUUCUCUCUGUCUUUUCUUCAUCAGAAGUGAAUGGGGGCACGCAUUCUCCUACUCUGUUGAACUCUAUUCUUUUCUCAAAUGGGGGUGAUGCCUAGGUUUCCCUCCCUCAAAUGGAGAAGAUUUUGUUUUAAUAGAUCUUAUACCUCAGGUCCUUUUGGAGUCAGGUGACUUAUUCCUCCAUCAAUGCCCAAAGCCAUAGACCUGGCAUAUCUUACUUAUAAUAAGGCCACAGCAAAAUUGUUGCAUGUGUUUCUGUUGCCGACCAUUUUACAUAUUAAUACACGAAUGCUCUCCAGUGUUUGGCACUUUGUAUUUGGGGAUUUGCUUCUCAGGUUCUGUUAUGCAUGGUUGAACAAUUAAAUAUCUACUCUGCUUUGUUCCUACC